rnacentral:rRNA from 1 species
UACGUAGGGGGCAAGCGUUGUCCGGAAUCAUUGGGCGUAAAGAGCGCGCAGGCGGUCGAUCAAGUCGCGUGUGAAAGCCCCCGGCUCAACUGGGGAGGGUCACGCGAUACUGAUCGACUCGAAGGCAGGAGAGGGUAGUGGAAUUCCCGGUGUAGUGGUGAAAUGCGUAGAUAUCGGGAGGAACACCAGUGGCGAAGGCGACUACCUGGCCUGUUCUUGACGCUGAGGCGCGAAAGCUAGGGGAGCAAACGGG